GCCUUUAAUACAGAGAUUUAUGUUAUAAAAUUUGAAACAUAAAUUACUCACUUGAUUUUUUAUGAUGUGCUAGUGUUUAUUUUUUACAAAACGUUCUAAGUAAGGGAGCUACCAUUUGAUUUUUAUGGGGGGGCUAGGAUGAAAAAUUUUGUCCUGCAUUUUUUUUUAGCUGUAAUCUCUGUCCUGCCUUUUUAUUUUGCACUCUGUUUGGUCCUGCUUUUUUUUUUUAGUUUAUCCUGACUUUUUUUUACCUAAAUUGUCGUCCUGACUUUUUUUUUUGGCAAUUGUCUCAUCCUGCCUUUUCUUUUUACUCAAAACUCCUGUCCUGCCUAUUUUUUUCAAAUUUCAUCCUAGCCCCCCCAUAAAAAUCAAAUGGUAGCUCCCUAACCUGUAAAUUCCAAAACACCAUGUGCUGAGUCACUAAAGUCGAGCGCACCCUACAAGGUGUACUUGAUUUUGGCCAUAUUUAUACUUG
rnacentral:lncRNA from 1 species